GAGUGGCGGACGGGUGAGUAACACGUGGGUAACCUGCCCUUAAGUGGGGGAUAACAUUUGGAAACAGAUGCUAAUACCGCAUAGAUCCAAGAACCGCAUGGUUCUUGGCUGAAAGAUGGCGUAAGCUAUCGCUUUUGGAUGGACCCGCGGCGUAUUAGCUAGUUGGUGAGGUAACGGCUCACCAAGGCGAUGAUACGUAGCCGAACUGAGAGGUUGAUCGGCCACAUUGGGACUGAGACACGGCCCAAACUCCUACGGGAGGCAGCAGUAGGGAAUCUUCCACAAUGGACGCAAGUCUGAUGGAGCAACGCCGCGUGAGUGAAGAAGGCUUUCGGGUCGUAAAACUCUGUUGUUGGAGAAGAAUGGUCGGCAGAGUAACUGUUGUCGGCGUGACGGUAUCCAACCAGAAAGCCACGGCUAACUACGUGCCAGCAGCCGCGGUAAUACGUAGGUGGCAAGCGUUAUCCGGAUUUAUUGGGCGUAAAGCGAGCGCAGGCGGUUUUUUAAGUCUGAUGUGAAAGCCCUCGGCUUAACCGAGGAAGCGCAUCGGAAACUGGGAAACUUGAGUGCAGAAGAGGACAGUGGAACUCCAUGUGUAGCGGUGAAAUGCGUAGAUAUAUGGAAGAACACCAGUGGCGAAGGCGGCUGUCUGGUCUGUAACUGACGCUGAGGCUCGAA
rnacentral:rRNA from 1 species